UACAGAGGUCUCAAGCGUUGUUCGGAUUCAUUGGGCGUAAAGGGUGCGUAGGUGGCGCUGUAAGUCGGGUGUGAAAUUUCGGAGCUUAACUCCGAAACUGCAUUUGAUACUGGCGUGCUUGAGGACUGGAGAGGAGACUGGAAUUCACGGUGUAGCAGUGAAAUGCGUAGAGAUCGUGAGGAAGACCAGUGGCGAAGGCGGGUCUCUGGACAGUUCCUGACACUGAGGCACGAAGGCCAGGGGAGCAAACGGG
rnacentral:rRNA from 1 species